CGCGUAGGCGGUCAGCACAAGUCAGUUGUGAAAUCUCCGAGCUUAACUCGGAAAGGUCAACUGAAACUGUGCGACUAGAGUGCGGAAGGGGCAACUGGAAUUCUUGGUGUAGCGGUGAAAUGCGUAGAUAUCAAGAGGAACACCUGCGGCGAAGGCGGGUUGCUGGGCCGACACUGACGCUGAAGCGCGAAAGCCAGGGGAGCGAACG
rnacentral:rRNA from 1 species